GACCACAAAAGUUAACGUCAGUUGUCAUUUUAUGACAACAAACAGCCGCGCAAGGUAGGUUUUUUCCAAUAUCUUUGCUGAUCAUUCUCUGACUUUCAUACGAAAUAGUGCAGGCAAUAUGGCAUGCAUAUAGCUUUCGAUCGGUAUAUCACGCGUUUUGUGUGUUGCUCUUGGUUUCGAGAACGCUUCGGCGCAAAUUUCCAUUUAAGAAGCAUACGUCAGUAGUAAAAUUACAAAGAGUCAGUGUUCUCGAAAAAAAACGAUCACAGAACUGUCUAUGCUUUACCGGACGAACAUAUAUUACAUAUGUCUAUGCAUAAACAAACAAAAAUAUAUACCAGAUAUUAAAUAAACGUUUAAAGAGUGAAAACAAAUAUGGCAAACGUCAGUAGUACGUUUAGGAAUGGCAAACGUCAGUAGCAAAAAUAUGCAAACGGCAGUAGCCGAAAAAAAACAACAAGCGUUUAAUUUAAUGAAAAACAUGUGAAACAAUAUAAUUUAUGCUAAUUUAGAUUUAAAUUAGAUAUAACAAGUUAAGAUUGAUUAAAUUAAUGCACGACAUAUAUAAAUUCUGCAACAACAAAAAUGAACUAAUGUUUAAGUGAUACUAUGGGCAUCUAACAGUGUAUAGGUGUCUAUCACAACCGUUGUUUAUUUUUGGUGUUUUCACUUCAUAUACACGGUUAUUCGUUAAUGCAGCAUCAACAUAUUGAAAAAAUAUCUCGGAAAGAGAAAUAUAAUGCUUUUGAAUAUCAACCGUACUUUCGGUUUGACAACUGACGACAGGAAUGAUUCGAUUUACAAUGUGAAUCUAAAUUGAGUCUUAUGCAGAUUCUUUCAUACGACACAAAGACACUUAUUUUGUUUUACGGAUCAACUUACAUCAUGAGCUUCAUUUGUGUGACGAUACAAAGUAUAUUAAACAUGCUCCAUUUGUGUGACGUCACUAUGUAUAUUAUUAACAUGUUCUCGUCUUGUUCACGGAAUUCUCUGGUGUCUUAACUCCGAGGGAAGCUCAAGCAAGAGCUGAGGUGGCAAGGCUUGACAUCGGUCAAGUAUUCGAUGCGCCUCCCUCUGAACCAAGGACGCAGACAGGUCGGGCGCUUAUGGCCCGCAGGAGAAUAGCUGAUCGAAAGACGAUGGCCGUACCUCAGCAAGUGAACGAGUGCCGCGCCCACAUUAUGAUAGUGGACCCUAAUUGCGUCACACCCGACCAGUGCACAACAGAUGCGGACUGUGGAAAAGGGGAGCUCUGUUGCACUUCACCAUGUGCAAGAUAUUGCAAAGGUCCUGGAUUUCCUUGAUAACACGACCGGUGGCAAUCCUUGGCUUUUCCUAAACGGAAAAAAGACGAGUUGAAUGGUUUCCUAGUUUUUCAUAAAGCACAACAUUAAUGUUGUUAAUAACACUUAAGUGUAUGUUGAACUUGGCUGAUAUAUUAUUGAAUUAUAUCAAAGUUAUCAAUGAUAAUCUUUUCUUUACUGAAAAACAACAUUGUUUUAGUAAUAUAAAGAAUAAAACAAAAUCUUA